rnacentral:rRNA from 1 species
UGCUCAUUGAUAAGGCUGGGUAUUUGUAUUCUCUGUGCUAUCUUUAAAUGGGUAUUGGGCCUUCAGUGCAUCUAGCUUAUUUGUUGAAGGUAAUGUCUUCCUCCAAGUCCAAUCGAUGCCAUACCGUACCUUGAGAGGGUUAUCGUCCACACUUGUGUACUUGAUGACACGGCCCAGACUCUCUACGGGGAGGCAGCAGUAGGGAAUCUUCCGCAAUGGACGCAAGUCUGUACGGAGCUACGCCGCGUGAUGAAGUAAGGGUUUCGGCUCGUUAAACUCUGUUGUUAAGGAAGAACACUUUAGGUAGUAACUGGCCUAGAGAUGUACGGUACUUAACCAGAAAGCCACGGCUAACUACGUGCCAGCAGCCGCGGUAAUACGUAGGUGGCAAGCGUUAUCCGGAAUUAUUGGGCGUAAAGCGCGCGUAGGCGGUAGAAUAAGUCUGAUGUGAAAGCCCCCGGCUCAACCGGGGAGGGUCAUUGGAAACUGUUUUACUUGAGUGCAGAAGAGGAGAGUGGAAUUCCAUGUGUAUCGGUGAAAUGCGCAGAGAUAUGGAGGAACACCAGUGGCGAAGGCGGCUCUCUGGUCUGUAACUGACGCUGAGGUGCGAAAGCGUGGGGAUCAAACAGGAUUAGAUACCCUGGUAGUCCACGCCGUAAACUGAUGAGUGCUUAAGUGUUGGGGGGUUUCCGCCCCUCAGUGCUGCAGCUUACGCUCAUUAAGC